rnacentral:rRNA from 1 species
GAUGAACGCUGGCGGCGUGCCUAACACAUGCAAGUCGAGCGAGAAAGUCCGCAAGGAUGAGUACAGCGGCGCACGGGUGCGUAACACGUGGGUAAUCUGCCCUGAAGCCCGGAAUAACCUCCCGAAAGGGAAGCUAAUGCCGGAUAAGACCACGGGAGCCUCGGCUCCUGCGGGAAAAGGUGGCCUCUGUACACAAGCUAUCACUUCAGGAUGAGCCCGCGGCCCAUCAGCUCGUUGGCGGGGUAACGGCCCACCAAGGCUACGACGGGUAGCUGGUCUGAGAGGACGGUCAGCCACACGGGAACUGGGACACGGUCCAGACUCCUACGGGAGGCAGCAGUGGGGAAUCUUGCGCAAUGGGCGAAAGCCUGACGCAGCAACGCCGCGUGUGUGAUGAAGGUCUUCGGAUCGCAAAGCACUGUCGGGAGGAAAGAACAAGCCUGUGGCUAACAUCCACGGGCCUUGACGGUACCUCCAAAGGAAGCACCGGCUAACUCUGUGCCAGCAGCCGCCGUAAAAC